GGGUGGAACUUCCACAGGGACCACAAUGGUAUAAACGAUAUAUACAAUCACAAAUAAAAUUGUGGUCCCUGAGGAAGUUCCGCCCAGGAAUCCUGAGGAUUUGUUAUUAUUGAUUUGUGAUUGUAUAUAUCUUUUAUACCAUUGUGGUCCCUGAGGAAGUUCCGCC